rnacentral:rRNA from 1 species
GAAGCCAUUCGAUACUGCGGUGACUAGAGAACGGCAGAGGGAAACGGAAUUUCUGGUGUAGCGGUAAAAUGCGCAGAGAUCAGAAAGAACACCGAUGGCGAAGGCAGUUUCCUAGGCCGCAUCUGACGCUGAGAGGCGAAAGCUAGGGGAGCAAACAGGAUUAGAGACCCUGGUAGUCCUAGCUGUAAACGAUGGAUGCUAGGUGUGGGCCGGAAAGGUCCGUGCCGUAGUUAACGCGAUAAGCAUCCCGCCUGGGGAGUACGGCCGCAAGGCUAAAACUCAAACGAAUUGACGGGGACCCGCACAAGCAGCGGAGCGUGUGGUUUAAUUCGAUGCUACACGCAGAACCUUACCUGGGCUUGACAUGUAGGUGGUAGUGAAGUGAAAGCGGAGCGACCCUUCGGGGAGCCUACACAGGUGCUGCAUGGCUGUCGUCAGCUCGUGCCGUGAGGUGUCGGGUUAAGUCCCGUAACGAGCGCAACCCUUGUCCUUAGUUACAAGUGUCUAAGGAGACUGCCGGUGACAAACCGGAGGAAGGUGGGGAUGACGUCAAGUCAGCAUGGCCCUUAUGUCCAGGGCGACACACACGCUACAAUGGUCGGUACAAUGGGCAGCGCAGCC